AAUAGAUGUCUUUAGCCAGCAUCAACAUCAUGGGACUGAGAUGAAAGAAUAGCUUUGUGAGAGACUCAGUCUAUCAUGGUUAUGUGAGAGAUUCAGUCUAUCAUGGUUAUGUGAGAGAUUCAGAGUAUCAUGGUUAUGUGAGAGAUUCAGAGUAUCAUGGUUAUGUGAGAGAUUCAGAGUAGCAUGGUUAUGUGAGAGAGUCAGAGUAUCAUGGUUAUGCAACAUUGGUGCAGUAUGUACCGUAUGUUACAUACAUGCCUAAAACACAGGAGGCUGCUGAGAGGAGGACAGCUCGUGAUAGUAGCCGGGAACGGAAGAAAAUGGAACGACAUCCAACACCCGGGGAAACCAUGGAAACCAUGUGUUUGAUUCCAUUCCACUGAUUCCGCUCCAGCUGUUACCACGAGCCCGUCCUCCUCAAAUUAAGGUGCCACCAACCUCCAGUGGCUAAAAAAAACAACAUCCUACGAAAGAAGAUUUAGCCUUGUCCCGAGCCCUCAUAAUAACCAACAGUUACCUUAGAAAACGGAUAUAUAACCCGUAGUAUGGAUUCUGGUCUGUUAUCAUCGGAGAGGUUGUUGUUUUUUUCUUCAAUAAGUUUAACUGAGGUUGCAGAUUAAACACUAUAGAAGUAGGUCAAACAACUUGACCACUUCUUCACCACACGUGUCCGUUUAAGAGCCUGUUCUGAGCACAGAGAUCAGAGGAUUAAAAAGAUCAUAUCUCUUGAGUAUAAGUACCUCUAAUUGGCUCUCUCCUGCCAGAGAAGAGAGAUGUGUUUUAGAACAGAGAGAGAUGUGUUUUAGAACAGAGAGAGGUGUGUUUUAGAACAGAGAGAUGUGUUUUAGAACAGAGAUAUGUGUUUUAGAACAGAGAGAUGUGUUUUAGAACAGAGAGAUGUGUUUUAGAACAGAGAGAGAUGUGUUUUUGAACAGAGAGAGAUGUGUUUUUGAACAGAUAGAGAUGUGUUUUAGAACAGAGAGGUGUGUUUUAGAACAGAGAGAUGUGUUUUAGAACAGAGAGAGGUGUGUUUUAGAACAGAGAGAGGUGUGUUUUAGAAGAGAGAUGUGUGUUUUAGAACAGAGAGAUGUGUUUUGAACAGAGAUGUGUUUUAGAACAGAGAUGUGUUUUAGAACAGAGAUGUGUUUUGAACAGAGAUGUGUUUUGAACAGAGAGAGGUGUGUUUUAGAACAGAGAGAGGUGUGUUUUAGAACAGAGAGAGAUGUGUUUUAGAACAGAGAGAGGUGUGUUUUAGAACAGAGAGAGAUGUGUUUUAGAACAGAGAGAUGUGUUUUAGAACAGAGAUGUGUUUUAGAACAGAGAUGUGUUUUAGCACAGAGCUCAGAACAGGCAUAAUAUGAGACACCAAGGUUAUUUCUCUAAAUUUCCUUCUAAUUUUUUCCAACACAGUCUCGAAGGUGUGUGUGUGUGUGUGUGUGUGUGUGUGUGUGUGU
rnacentral:lncRNA from 1 species